ensembl:lncRNA
AAAUAUAUUUGUGAGGUAGCUGGUGUGUGAGGGAGGUAUCUGGUGUGUGAGGGAGGUAGCUGGUGUGUGAGGGAGGUAGCUGUGUGCAAGGUAGGUAGCUGGCGUGUGAGGGAGGUAGCUGGUGUGUGAGGGAGGUAGCUGGUGUGUGAGGGAGGUAGCUGGUGUGUGAGGGAGGUAGCUGGUGUGUGAGGGAGGUAGCUGGUGUGUGAGGGAGGUAGCUGGUGUGUGAGGGAGGUAGCUGUGUGCAAGGUAGGUAGCUGGUGUGUGAGGGAGGUAGCUGGCGUGUGAGGGAGGUAGCUGGUGUGUGAGGGAGGUAGCUGGCGUGUGAGGGAGGUAGCUGGUGUGUGAGGGAGGUAGCUGGUGUGUGAGGGAGGUAGCUGGUGUGUGAGGGAGGUAGCUGGUGUGUGAGGGAGGUAGCUGUGUGCAAGGUAGGUAGCUGGCGUGUGAGGGAGGUAGCUGGUGUGUGAGGGAGGUAGCUGGCGUGUGAGGGAGGUAGCUGGCGUGUGAGGGAGGUAGCUGGCGUGUGAGGGAGGUAGCUGGCGUGUGAGGGAGGUAGCUGGAGUGUGAGGGAGGUAGCUGGUGUGUGAGGGAGGUAGCUGGUGUGCGAGGUAGGUAGCUGGUGUGUGAGGGAGGUGGCUGGCGUGUGAGGGAGGUGGCUGGCGUGUGAGGGAGGUAGCUGGCGUGUGAGGGAGGUAGCUGGAGUGUGAGGGAAGUGGCUGGCGUGUGAGGGAGGUGGCUGGCGUGUGAGGGAGGUAGCUGGAGUGUGAGGGAGGUAGCUGGAGUGUGAGGGAGGUAGCUGGUGUGCGAGGUAGGUAACUGGUGUGUGAGGGAGGUGGCUGGCAUGUGAGGGAGGUGGCUGGAGUGUGAGGGAGGUAGCUGGAGUGUGAGGGAGGUAGCUGGCGUGUGAGGGAGAUGGCUGGCGUGUGAGGGAGAAAGCUGGAGUGUGAGGGAGGUAGCUGGUGUGUGAGGUAGGUAGCUGGUGUGUGAGGGAGGUAGCUGGUGUGUGAGGGAGGUAGCUGGUGUGCGAGGUAGGUAGCUGGUGUGUGAGGGAGGAAGCUGGUGUGUGAGGGAGGUAGCUGGCGUGUGAGGGAGGUAGCUGGCGUGUGAGGGAGUGUGAGGGAGGUGGCUGGCG